rnacentral:rRNA from 1 species
UACGUAGGGUGCAAGCGUUGUCCGGAAUUAUUGGGCGUAAAGGGCUCGUAGGCGGUCCGUCACGUCGGGAGUGAAAACUUGGGGCUUAACCCCAAGCCUGCUUCCGAUACGGGCGGACUAGAGGUAGGCAGGGGAGAACGGAAUUCCUGGUGUAGCGGUGAAAUGCGCAGAUAUUAGGAGGAACACCGGUGGCGAAGGCGCUGCUCUGGGCCGAUACUGACGCUGAGGAGCGAAAGCGUGGGGAGCGAACAGG